GACGAACGCUGGCGGCGUGCCUAAUACAUGCAAGUAGAACGCUGAAGGAGGAGCUUGCUUCUCUGGAUGAGUUGCGAACGGGUGAGUAACGCGUAGGUAACCUGCCUGGUAGCGGGGGAUAACUAUUGGAAACGAUAGCUAAUACCGCAUAAGAGUAGCUGUUGCAUGACAUUUGCUUAAAAGGUGCAAUUGCAUCACUACCAGAUGGACCUGCGUUGUAUUAGCUAGUUGGUGGGGUAACGGCUCACCAAGGCGACGAUACAUAGCCGACCUGAGAGGGUGAUCGGCCACACUGGGACUGAGACACGGCCCAGACUCCUACGGGAGGCAGCAGUAGGGAAUCUUCGGCAAUAGACGGAAGUCUGACCGAGCAACGCCGCGUGAGUGAAGAAGGUUUUCGGAUCGUAAAGCUCUGUUGUAAGAGAAGAACGAGUGUGAGAGUGGAAAGUUCACACUGUGACGGUAUCUGACCAGAAAGGGACGGCUAACUACGUG
rnacentral:rRNA from 1 species